AGUGAACGCUGGCGGUAGGCCUAACACAUGCAAGUCGAACGGCAGCACAGUAAGAGCUUGCUCUUACGGGUGGCGAGUGGCGGACGGGUGAGGAAUACAUCGGAAUCUACUUUUUCGUGGGGGAUAACGUAGGGAAACUUACGCUAAUACCGCAUACGACCUACGGGUGAAAGCAGGGGAUCUUCGGACCUUGCGCGAUUGAAUGAGCCGAUGUCGGAUUAGCUAGUUGGCGGGGUAAAGGCCCACCAAGGCGACGAUCCGUAGCUGGUCUGAGAGGAUGGUCAGCGAGAGAGGAAGUGAAGAGCGGACGCGACUCCGCCGGGAGGCAGCAGUAGGGGAUGGUGCGCAAGGGGCGGAAGCAUGACGGGGCAACGCGGCGGGAGUGAGGAAGGGCUUCGGAGUGGAAAACUCUGUUAUUAGGGAAGAAAAAAUGUGUAAGUAACUAGGCCCGUCUUGACGGUACCGAAUCAGAAAGCAACGGCUAACUACGUG
rnacentral:rRNA from 1 species